rnacentral:tRNA from 1 species
AGCAAGGUGGCCGAGUGGUUAAGGCGAUGGACUGCUAAUCCAUUGCUGCUUUACGCAGCGUGGUUUCGAAUCCCAUCCUCGUCC